rnacentral:rRNA from 1 species
GAUGAACGCUGGCGGCGUGCUUAACACAUGCAAGUCGAGCGAAGCACCUUGACGGAUUUCUUCGGAUUGAAGCCUUGGUGACUGAGCGGCGGACGGGUGAGUAACGCGUGGGUAACCUGCCUCAUACAGGGGGAUAACAGUUGGAAACGGCUGCUAAUACCGCAUAAGCGCACAGUACCGCAUGGUACGGUGUGAAAAGCUCCGGUGGUAUGAGAUGGACCCGCGUCUGAUUAGGUAGUUGGUGGGGUAACGGCCUACCAAGCCGACGAUCAGUAGCCGACCUGAGAGGGUGACCGGCCACAUUGGGACUGAGACACGGCCCAAACUCCUACGGGAGGCAGCAGUGGGGAAUAUUGCACAAUGGGGGAAACCCUGAUGCAGCGACGCCGCGUGAGCGAUGAAGUAUUUCGGUAUGUAAAGCUCUAUCAGCAGGGAAGAAAAUGACGGU